UUAAAUUAAAAUCGGUGUUGUUGCUACCUCUUGUGGUGACUCGUCGGAGCUGAGUCGUCUUAUCUUCGGCUAAGUGACUUAAAAUUUUGCAUGAUUUUCGAACGUAUUUAAAUUGCUUACGUAUGUUUGAGAUAUCGAAUAUUUUAUUAGGUUUGGUCAUCCUUAUGACUCGCGCCUAUAAUUUUUUCAUU
rnacentral:misc_RNA from 1 species